UACGGGGGGGGCAAGCGUUGUUCGGAAUUACUGGGCGUAAAGGGCUCGUAGGCGGCAAACUAAGUCGGAUGUGAAAUCCCCAGGCUUAACCUGGGAACUGCAUCCGAUACUGGAUGGCUUGAAUUCGGGAGAGGGAUGCAGAAUUCCAGGUGUAGCGGUGAAAUGCGUAGAUAUCUGGAGGAAUACCGGUGGCGAAGGCGGCAUCCUGGACCGAGAUUGACGCUGAUGAGCGAAAGCUAGGGGAGCAAACGGG
rnacentral:rRNA from 1 species